rnacentral:rRNA from 1 species
UACGGAGGGUGCAAGCGUUUAUCCGGAUUUACUGGGUUUAAAGGGUGCGUAGGUGGGUAGGUAAGUCAGUGGUGAAAUCUCCGAGCUUAACUCGGAAACUGCCAUUGAUACUCUCUAUCUUGAAUAUCCUGGAGGUGAGCGGAAUAUGUCAUGUAGCGGUGAAAUGCUUAGAUAUGACAUAGAACACCAAUUGCGAAGGCAGCUCACUACGGGAUUAUUGACACUGAGGCACGAAAGCGUGGGGAUCAAACAGG